rnacentral:rRNA from 1 species
AUUGAACGCUGGCGGCAUGCUUUACACAUGCAAGUCGAGCGGCAGCGCGGGGGCAACCCUGGCGGCGAGCGGCGAACGGGUGAGUAACGCAUCGGAACGUAUCCUGUAGUGGGGAAUAACUCAUCGAAAGGUGAGCUAAUACCGCAUAAGCUCUGAGGAGGAAAGCGGGGGACCGAAAGGCCUCGCGCUGCAGGAGCGGCCGAUGUCCGAUUAGCUAGUUGGUGAGGUAAAGGCUCACCAAGGCGACGAUCGGUAGCUGGUCUGAGAGGAUGAUCAGCCACACUGGGACUGAGACACGGCCCAGACUCCUACGGGAGGCAGCAGUGGGGAAUUUUGGACAAUGGGGGAAACCCUGAUCCAGCCAUGCCGCGUGAGUGAAGAAGGCCUCGGUGUAAGCUCUUCGGUACGGAACGGAAAUUAGCUUGGACGUAAUACUCUGAGUAGAUGACGGUACCGUAAGAAUAAGACACCGGCUAACUACGUAGCCAG